rnacentral:rRNA from 1 species
GUGCCAGCCGCCGCGGUAAUACGUAGGUGGCAAGCGUUAUCCGGAAUUAUUGGGCGUAAAGCGCGCGUAGGCGGUUUUUUAAGUCUGAUGUGAAAGCCCACGGCUCAACCGUGGAGGGUCAUUGGAAACUGGAAAACUUGAGUGCAGAAGAGGAAAGUGGAAUUCCAUGUGUAGCGGUGAAAUGCGCAGAGAUAUGGAGGAACACCAGUGGCGAAGGCGACUUUCNUGGUCUGUAACUGACGCUGAUGUGCGAAAGCGUGGGGAUCAAAC